rnacentral:rRNA from 1 species
GACGAACGCUGGCGGCGUGCUUAACACAUGCAAGUCGAACGGAAAGGCCCUGCCUUUGUGGGGUGGUGGAGUUGAGAACGGGUGAGUUACACGUGAGUUACGUGCCCUUGACCUUGGGAUAACUUCAGGACACUGGAGCUAAUCCCAGAUAGGAGCUCCUGCUUCUUGGUGGGGGUUGGUUGGUUUCGGCGGUUGGUGAUGGACUCGCGGCCGAUCAGCUUGUUGGUGGGGUAGUGGCUUAGCAAGGCUAUGACGGGUAGCCGGCCUGAUAGGGUGACAGGCCACGUCGGGACUGAGAUGCGACCCAGCCUAGUACGAGACGGAGCAGUGGGGAAUAGUGUACUAUGGGCGGAAGCCUGGUGCGGCAAAGCCGCGCGCGGGAUGACGUCCUUCGGGUAGUGAAGCACUUUCGCCUGUCACGAGGCGUGAGUGACGGUAAUGGGUAAAGAAGCACCGGCUAACUACGUG